AGGCAUUUGUAACCAACCCAAAACAAUCUUCUUCCAUAAUAAAACUUUUUCCUCUGCUUUAGUUGAAUUUUUCGAUCUUAGUUAAUGAUCUUGGGCUAGCAGAAGGUCUCUCCAAUUACGCCUUUCUUCUGCUAUUCUCUAUUAAAAACUUAUAUUCCAGUAUCACAUCUUACAGUUGAUCCUCAGAAAAAAACAAUUUUAAUUACAUGUCAUUUCAGUGAAAAGCACUUUGAAAGGCAAUUGCAAUGGAUUCAUGCAUGUUGCUCGCGAAGCUGGAGCUUUGCUAGAGCAAAAGUCUAGGAUUCAACCACCAUCCAACCGAGUUGAGUACUUUCAGGGAUUAUGAUCAGGAUUUGUGAAUCUGACAGCGUUUGAGUAUCAAACCAGUAGCCUCCACCUAUCAAAGAACAGAUAAGGGACUGAUUUAUAAAGGCGUCUGGUACUGAUAGCUGAUGCCCAAUCAUACUUUUCUCAACCGAGUUGGAGUACUUAAGGGAUUAUGAUCAGAGGUGGAGCCAAGAUUUCAAACAUUUGUGCAGCUGACAGAUUGGAUUAUCGCAUCAGCAGCCUCCACCGAUUGAUACAUAGGGAUGGGACUAAUUCACAGAGGAGUUUGGCACUGACUGCUGAUGCCCUAUUGUACUCGUUUGAGUCUGCUAUCAAUCCCUUUGAUCAAACAAAGAAGACCAGUCAAGUCAUGCUUCUCUAUUACUGUACUCGACCUGCACUUUGGAUAGUUUCUGGAGUAUGACCCUCGUCUCUUCAUUGAUUUAUGUGUUGAAAGAAGGGAAAUCUGCUCAGCCCAUGCAACCAACACUGUGAAAAUAUUGUUAACUAACUUCCGGAAAGUAGUUAAUAACUAACUUUAUACCUUGUAGCUAAUUGAGUUAGUUAAGUGGUUAGCCUCUAGAAUCUUCCAUGAUCAUCUAUAUAUACAUGCUAAAUACACUUUGUAAGACACAAGAAUAAGGUUCAAUCAAUGAAAUAAUAUCCACUCUUCUCCUA